ensembl:lncRNA
UGUUGAGCUCCCUCUCCCUGUGUGGUGAGGAUGGUUUGGAGGACCAGUACGGGGCAUAGUUAUCCACCUCCAGACUGACCACAGAAGAAGAAGCAGCCCUGACGGACACCUCAAAGUUCUGCCCACUGUGGCCACUGUCCCGGGAGCUGGAGAGGACGUCUCGCUUUGAUGACACGUUAUUGAAGCGUCCCAGGCUGAUGAAGGGAGAGGGCUCCGUUGGAGCACCACUGGGCUGUUCAGGUCCACCUCCUGACUGAACCCUGUCUGACCCUCCCCGGCUCCUCUCCAACUCCCUGGGCUGCCCUGUAGCACUCUCCUCCUCUGGCUGUGUCUGGCUGCUGUCCUGGUCAGUGUGUGUCUGUGCAUGCUGAGCUCUCUGGAUAGACGUGACCACUGUGUUGAGGGAGGAGUGGGACUGAGACCUGCCCAGGGGGGAUGGCCCUCCUACAGGCCCUGCUGUGUCCUCUCUCUCAGGAAGACCACUACCUGCUGCCUCCCCUCUGCUAGGGGAGGAGGGUCCAGAUUCACACAUGCUGAGGGUCUGGUUGCCCAGCUGUGGAAGAGUCAACAUACGGGUCAGAGAGUCAGAGACUGCAUCGUAGGCCUUCUGCUUGGGAGAGACCCCGGAGAAGCCCUGAAGAGACAAGUUGUCAUAGAACGACAUCUUGUUUGAACUUUGGUUGGCCUUCCAAGCAUCAACCUUUUGUAGGUAGUUAAGACUGGGGAGAGAAUGGUGGCUUCUUCCUGAGGGCUCCUGUACUGUCUCUCUGGCAGGCAGAGGGGGGUCCCGGACAGGGGUGGCUCUAUCAGGCAGGGUGUCUACAGCAGGCUGGGGCUGGGAGGAGACUCUGGAGCCUGAGGAGCGCUGAGAGACCUCCAUGUUAAAGCUGAGGGCAGACAGCUUAGUGCUGGAUCUGACUGGAGCGUGGAGGAACACACCUGGGGUGGACUGGGACACGGGCUGGGGGAGAAGGCUCAGGAACGAGACGUCUGGUUCUGUGCCUGUCUGGUUCCCUGAGGACCAGAGGUCUCCCUCCCUAUGGCCUCGCUCCACACUGAACCCUGCUGAAAACUGGGGCCCGACCCCAGCCCCUGGCCCUAACACACUGGCCCGUAGCCCUCUGGUCACGCUCAACCUCCCUUUGGCGGAUCCAGUGGUUGAAACGUUAGGUGUAUUGGUGACAAUGUCAGGUGUGUUGACUUCACUGUGUGAGGAGGGUAUGGGCCCACGGCUGGUACCUCCCCGGGUCUCUGCUCCAGGCUCAGAGUCCAGACUCCUCUCUAGCUCCGAGCAGAGCUGCCUGCGGGACGCAUUACUGCUUUCGUCCGGCUGGCUGCUCAGGGAACGGAUGGUGAUGUUGGAAAUUUCAGACAUCCGUGAAGACGGUUUACUUUUGAGUUUCUCUAUCUUCUCAGGUGAGACGGAGGCUCCUCCUUGAGGGCCUUCUCUUCUCCCUGUGACUGGCGGUGAGACGUCAGGCAGCAGCUCAGGUGAGACGUCAGGCAGCAGCUCAGGUGAGACGUCAGGCAGCAGCUCAGGUGAGACGUCAGGCAGCAGCUCAGGUGAGACGUCAGGCAGCAGCUCAGGUGAGACGUCAGGCAGCAGCUCAGGUGAGACGUCAGGCAGCAGCUCAGGUGAGACGUCAGGCAGCGCUCUUUGGCUCACAUCCCUCUCUUCUCUCAAGCCAUCUGGUUUGGAAACACAGCGGUCACUCCUGGAUUCUCCCCCAAAGAAGUUAGUCCUGUUGCGAGAGGUCUCAGAGGCAGAGGAGACGGCACUGCUGCUACCGCUGGGCAUGCCAACGUCCUUCUGGAGCAGAUCCAGCAGCUUUCUGACAGGGAUGUCCCCGCUGAGGAACGAAGCGUUGUCGUCAGGGAACACGGCCAGAGGUCUGUCUGGGUCAAGGAGACUGGUACGUGUCUAGUGAUCAGAAUCAGAAACCGCCUUUAUUCGUCAAGGACAUUUACAUAUACACAG